ACUUACAGAUGGGCCCGCGGUGCAUUAGCUAGUUGGUGAGGUAACGGCUCACCAAGGCAACGAUGCAUAGCCGACCUGAGAGGGUGAUCGGCCACACUGGGACUGAGACACGGCCCAGACUCCUACGGGAGGCAGCAGUAGGGAAUCUUCCGCAAUGGACGAAAGUCUGACGGAGCAACGCCGCGUGAGUGAUGAAGGCUUUCGGGUCGUAAAACUCUGUUGUUAGGGAAGAACAAGUACUAUUGACGGUACCUAACCAGAAAGCCACGGCUAACUACGUGCCAGCAGCCGCGGUAAUACGUAGGUGGCAAGCGUUAUCCGGAAUUAUUGGGCGUAAAGCGCGCGCAGGCGGUUUCUUAAGUCUGAUGUGAAAGCCCACGGCUCAACCGUGGAGGGUCAUUGGAAACUGGGGAACUUGAGUGCAGAAGAGAAAAGCGGAAUUCAUGUAGCGGUGAAAUGCGUAGAGAU
rnacentral:rRNA from 2 species